AGAGUCUUCAGUCUAUAGCAGCAGAACUAGGAGCUGGUCCCAGGUCAGCCUGAACCAGCCCUCACUAUAAGAGGAGGGUCUUCAGUCUAUAGCAGCAGAGCUAGCAGCUGGUCCCAGGUCAACUGAAGGAGGUGAGGAUGGAGUGGUUGAUGGUGUUAAGGACUGAAGGAGGUGAAGAUGGAGUGGUUGAUGGUGUUAAGGACUGAAGGAGGAGGUGAGGAUGGAGUGGUUGAUGGUGUUAAGGACUGAAGGAGGUGAGGAUGGAGUGGUUGAUGGUGUUAAGGACUGAAGGAGGAGGUGAGGAUGGAGUGGUUGAUGGUGUUAAGGACUGAAGGAGGUGAGGAUGGAGUGGUUGAUGGUGUUAAGGACUGAAGGAGGUGAGGAUGGAGUGGUUGAUGGUGUUAAGGACUGAAGGAGGUGAGGAUGGAGUGGUUGAUGGUGUUGAGAGGAGAAUGUCAUGUGACCUUGAGUAGAGCAGUGCUGUGGCGAGUGCUCAAACGUUAGAAGGUGUAUUUCAGUCUAACUAACAGCUGUUCCCUCCACAGGAAGUCCGUCAGCGCCUGGUCAGCCUGAGCACGCAACUCCACGCACUGCAGGCUGCUGUGAUUCGUCAAGACUCCAUCCUGGAGCUGUCACUCACCACAGGCCCUGCCCCCUCCCUGCCCACAGGCCCCGCCCUCACCCGCUCUCUCUCGGGGGAGGGGGGGGGAGGCGGGACUUCUGCGGCGACAGGUGGAGCUGCUGCAGGAGGAAGUGACACGUCUUCGCCUGAAGGGGGAGGAGCCAAUCAGGGAGGGGGCAGGCUCUAGGAGACGGAGCAACGGAGACAUCAGCGAUGUCAUGAAGGGGGAACCGCAGGUGAGCAGGAGGCGUGGAAGCAGGGAGUUGGAGCCCCGCCCCCUCGCACCAUUGGCCACGCAGGAGCCAGUCGACCAAUUAGAUGGCGUCCAGGAAACAAACGGGGAGAAAAUCUCUCCUCGCUCCGACAGCCCGAGAGACCUGCAGGAUAUCCCGGAGGAGAGCGAGUGCGGGGCGGAGCCCAGUUAACAUCCAGAGACUUUCAUUGUGAAAGGUUCCUGCUGUCAGAAACAGGAAGUAUCACAGCUGGAGCCCCGCCCACAUGUGCUGGAGGGGGCGGGGUUUACAUUGUGAGACACCACACUACAUUACCCAAAAUGCCUUUGGAUGUCAGCAUCUCCAGUGUUGACGUUAUAAAGUGCUGUAAACAAAGCGUGUAAAUGUAUUUAUAUUAAAGUAGUUUAACGUCAUUCUGGGACCAAAAACAUUUUUUACCUGUAGAAAUGUUUACAAAGGUUGACAGAAAUAAACUGAGGGCUAGCAGCUAAUGCUAACCUGCAGAGCAGCUGGAUCCAGCACCAUCCGUCCCCCAUGCUCCGUGGAGAACGGCUCCACCCUCAAACAAGAUCACGUGAUCAUCGAGGACCAUAAGCCCCGCCUACCACCAUAAGCCCCGCCUCCCGUCAUAAGCCCCGCCUCUCCUCGGAGUAUAUAACUCAAUGACUGAAUAACUCAAUGACUGAAUAACUCAAUCACUGAAUGACUCAAUGUCUGAAUGACUGAAUGACUGAAUGACUGAAUGACUCAAUGACUGAAUGACUCAAUGUAUGAAUGACUCAAUGACUGAAUGACUCAAUGACUGAAUAACUGCAUGACUCAAUGACUGCAUGACUCAAUGACAGAAUGACUGAAUGACUCAAUGACUGAAUGACUCAAUGACUGAAUGACUCAAUGACUGAAUGACAGAAUGGCUCAACGACUGAAUGACUGAAUGACUCAAUGACUCAAUGACUCAAUGACUGAAUGACUCAAUGACUCAAUGACUGAAUGAAUGAUUGACUGAAUGAAUCCAACACCAGUCGUCUCAGUUCCUCAUCGCCGACAUGGAUCAGUAAUGUAAAACCGUGAGAUAUUAAAACCUUUAGUGUAAAUAAAUCAUUCUCUGUGGAUCCAGCCCUAGUUUAAAAGGGGGGGGGGGGGGGGUUAGCAUGUUAGCGUGUUAGCGUGUAAACCUGGUGUUUUUAUUGAUCAGGUCUGACCAGGUUUCUAUUGAUCAUGUUUGACCAGGUCUGACCAGGUUUCUGUUGAUCAGGUCUGACCAGGUUUCUAUUGAACAGGUUUGACCCGGUCUGACCAGGUUUCUAUUGAUCAGGUCUGACCAGGUUUCUAUUGAACAGGUUUGACCAGGUUUCUAUUGAUCAGGUCUGACCAGGUUUCUAUUGAACAGGUUUGACCAGGUUUCUAUUGAUCAGGUCUGAUCAGGUUUCUAUUGAUCAGGUCUGACCAGGUUUCUAUUGAUCAGGUCUGACAAGGUUUCUAUUGAUCAGGUUUGACCAGGUCUGACCAGGUUUCUAUUGACCAGGUUUGACCAUGUUUCUAUUGAUUAGGUCUGACCAGGUUUCUAUUGAUCAGGUCUGAUCAGGUCUAAUCAGGUUUCUAUUGAACAGGUUUGACCAGGUCUGACCAGGUUUCUAUUGAUCAGGUUUCUAUUGAUCAGGUCUGACCAGGUUUCUAUUGAUCAGGUCUGACCAGGUUUCUAUUGAUCAGGUUUGACCAGGUCUGACCAGGUUUCUGUUGAUCAGGUCUGACCAGGUUUCUAUUGAACAGGUUUGACCCGGUCUGACCAGGUUUCUAUUGAUCAGGUCUGACCAGGUUUCUAUUGAACAGGUUUGACCAGGUUUCUAUUAAUCAGGUCUGACCAGGUUUCUAUUGAACAGGUUUGACCAGGUUUCUAUUGAUCAGGUCUGAUCAGGUUUCUAUUGAUCAGGUCUGAUCAGGUUUCUAUUGAUCAGGUCUGACCAGGUUUCUAUUGAACAGGUUUGACCAGGUUUCUAUUGAUCAGGUCUGACCAGGUUUCUAUUGAACAGGUUUGACCAGGUUUCUAUUGAUCAGGUCUGAUCAGGUUUCUAUUGAUCAGGUCUGACCAGGUUUAUAUUGAUCAGGUCUGACCAGGUUUCUAUUGAUCAGGUCUGACCAGGUUUCUAUUGAUCAGGUUUGACCAUGUUUCUAUUGAUUAGGUCUGACCAGGUUUCUAUUGAACAGGUUUGACCAGGUCUGACCAGGUUUCUAUUGAUCAGGUCUGAUCAGGUUUCUAUUGAUCAGGUCUGACCAGGUUUCUAUUGAUCAGGUUUGACCAGGUCUGACCAGGUUUCUAUUGAUCAGAUCUGACCAGGAUUCUAUUGAACAGGUUUGACCAGGUCUGACCAGGUUUCUAUUGAUCAGGUCUGACCAGGUUUCUAUUGAUCAGGUCUGAUCAGGUUUCUAUUGAUCAGGUCUGACCAGAUGAGACAUGGAGGCUGUUUAUUCUCAUGAAGUUAUUAUGCUGAAAUAUUUAAUGUCCAUUAGAUCAUGGAAAUGUACAGAAUGAAAAAUGAAGGUUAAACCUGAAUCCUUGGUUUAUAUGUUUGUGUCCAAAGUCUUUUUUAUUUGAGUGCUUUUACUCUUUUAUAAUGCGUUUACAGAGCUGGAGUGUGUACUGUAUAAACUGUAAAGUUGUGAUUUAUUCUCUGUUAUAAAUCAGCUGGAUCAAA